UGUUUGGUUUUGGUUUUAUGCUGAUGAGUUAAGCUGAGUCAACUUUCUCAUCACUAUCAUUUGUGUAGUGCUUAUAGAGAAGACAAUGUCUUACCAGCUUAUCCUAUUAUCUCCCUUCAGAAUGAUCUCAGAGAUUCACUCAAAAAAGCCUACCUUAUCCACCCAUCACUUUCCCCACUUUCACUGUUCCCACUCUUUUUUUUCCUCUUUUCUUUUCUUUUUUUUCUUUUUUUUUUUUUUGGCUGCACCUACAGCAUAUGGAAAUUCCCAGGCCAGGGAUGGAAUCUGAGCAGCAGCUGUGACCUACACCACAGCUGUCGCAACCCUGGAUACUUAACCCAACAUACCAGGCCUGGGAUCGAACCUGUGCCUCUGCAGCAACCCACACUGCUGUAGUCAGAUCCUUAAUCCACUGUGCCACAGUGGGAACUCCCCUGUUCCCACUCUUGAUGCCAGGGGCAAGUGAUAUUCCCUUACCAGUGCUUAAUUCCUUGUGUAUGGCUGUGAAGUAGGUCUUUCACAUCUCUGUUAUGAACUAUGUCACACUGUAUUAUUUAUUAAAUGUAUUAAAUGUAUUCAAGUUAUAUUUUAUGAAUCUUUCUUCCUCUGUCAGACUCUGUAUUCCUUAAAAUCAGAGGAAAUAUUGAUGUUCAGAGUCCUGGGAAGCACCUGGCACCUGGCAUGUGUUUAGUGCUUGAAUGGAUACACAGGUUAUACUAAAUCUUCCUGCAAAUUCUAAGUCCCAUAUCCAAAUAGGUGGGUUUUUAUUUGUUUUCAGCCCAGAAAGCUAGUUAUUGUUAUCUAUACAUUUUCAUUUACAAACAAAAGCUUUGAAAGUAUGCAGCAUUUAUUUUCCUCUUUCCCUCAGAAAACUUUGUAGAUCGGUUUUCAUUAUACUAGGAAGUGAAGAUCUGUAUUCCAUAUUGCAGAACAGAUACAUGAUACAGCCUGACUUCAUGGUGGUGGAAUAUAAUCCUUCAGGAGGAUGGAUUGUUCCUGGUUAAAGAAGCUUUACUAUGGGGACAUUUCCUGUGUUAAUAGCUGUGAGAAAGGGUUUCUUGGAGCCAUGGGCUUCUGAGAGGGGCCUCAGCAGAUAUGACUGGGUGGGAAGGAACCAGCGAACCUGGUUCAAGGGCACCAUGCUUGUCUCUACAUUUGAUUCUAUUAGAAGUCUCAAGGCUCUUCUUUUUUGUCAAGUUUUAAAACCUUUUCAAUCGCUUACUACCCUUGAGGAUGACUGGGGCUUGGCAAUGAGAAGGAAAAACUAAGAGGCUUUUUUGUUCUGACCUUGUUCAGUUAUCUGUCACAGAAAACAGAGCUCUUAGGUCACUGUCCAUCCACUCCUGUGAUGCCAUCCUUGUGUGCUGUGUGGAAGAGUCUAUUGGUUGCAGGAGAUGCUGAAUGUGGUUCUUGGACCUUGAGAUACCCCUGGUCCAGAAGGACUUACAAAUAACAAACUUAACUGUUGCUAUUCUGCAGGUGUGUGAGCGGUAUAAGAAGUGGUGAGAUCACAGAGGUGUCAAAGCAAUGGCCAUGCUCUGUGUGGGUCAGUCUUGAGAGAUGGUGGGAAUUGAUUGAGCAUGCGCAGAGCACAGGGAAGGGACAGUAGGGAGAAGAAAGCUUUCCAGGCAGAAGGAAGAGCAUUAUCAGAGUGAAAGAAGAGGAAGAUGCCUGACAUCUUCCAAGAAGCUCCACAUGUCAUAGAUGGAUUGUAUAUCACACACAAAAUGGGGACUCUGCUAAAAAGGCAGGGGGUGGCCAGAUAGAGAGAAGCCCUGCAUGACAAGGAAGAGCAUACUGAAAUUCCUUCUGGUAGGAGCCAUGCUGUCAUUAAUUUAGAAAGUUGGCUUUUUAUGAAUGAAAUGGGCAGUGCACUCUGAGAUCAAGGCUGGGUAAGAUCCCAACACAAGACACAGGCAUGAAUCAGUCCUGUACGGAAUCUGUGUCCUCUUUGUCCUCCUUUUCUGCUAUUUCCUCUAGCUUCCCUUAUGCUUAAUUUCAUGGUAUUAACUAUGCUCCUUGAAACAUUAAUCCCAAGAAAGAAUAGUAGGUGUGCCGCCAAGAGGAAAAACGUGGUUUCAAGGAAGGGUAGCAGGAACUGUCACAUGUGCAGAUUCAGUGUGAAUUAGCAUGUUAAAGGCUAUGUCUGUAAUAAAGGAAUCUAUUCCUUGUUAUUAAGUUUUGGGGUUUUGUUUUUUUUUUUUAAUCUCAGCAUGACCCAAACCUCUGUGGGCAUCGAACACUUUUGUGCAUAUCCUGUGUACAGACUUGGAGGAAAAGAGACCAUGUGAACUGUAAUUAUCAGAACGCCGGAGGACCUUGAGUUCUUUGAAGGAAAAGCUUUCUCUAUUCAUGGAGACUCAGGGCCUUCCCAUCCUUUUCUUGGUGUAGAAUAUUCAAGAAGCAUUGGUUCUUUUAUGGUAAUAACAAUUCCGACAUGUGCCUCUGCCUGAAUAAUUUAUUCACAUUUUAACUAAAAAGUUUCAAGAAAAAUGCCAGCUGUGGACAUCUGAAAGCCAAAUGUGAAUAUUCUGUGGAGGAGCAGGUGGGGGAGGGGACUGUGGAAAGUCAAGGUCUGGGCUGUGCUGAGAGGGAAAAAUUCCUGAGAAUGGGGUUCCCCCUAGAGGUGGCAGUGAGUCCAGCCACAGGACUGUGGACACAGGGUCCCUGUUCCUGCCUGUUUGGGAUGCUCUGUGCUUCCUGAACAGGCUCCCUGAGAACUGAGCCCAAUUCAGUGGUGGGAAUAGAAGCUUGUUGUUGUUUGCCUGGCUCCUCAGUUUUCCCUGAGCCAGCUUGGAAAAAAAACGUUAAAACCGAAUCAGAAUGGCCUCUGCCUUUCUCACUGAUCCUGACAGGAUAGGUCCAGAGUCUGCUUCUCAUGUGAAGUGUCUGUCCCUGAGCAACAUAGGAGGCCGUAGAGAAGGAAAAAGUGGAGACACGGAUAAGAAAAAGAAAAUGCAAUUGAAGCCUAGUGGUCAUUGUUUUUCUUGAAACUAUGUUUGUAUGUUAUAUGUUUCUAUUAAGGUAUUGCUAAAUGUGAAAUGUUCAUCACAUGGUUGUCACAUGUGUAUGAACAUACAAUUCCCAGUGAUGAUCUCUGAACACAUAUACACAAUGCACACAAUGCACAUGCCUACCCACAUCUAUACAUAUACACACAUGCACAUAAACACACUCACACACCUAUGCAAGCAUUCACAUAAACAUAUACUUGUCAUAUACACACAUAUAUAAACACAUGCAAUGUAUAUAUACACAUAAACAUACACAUGUGCAUAUACACACCGUCACACAUAUACACAUGCACAUAACAUGCACAUAACUUUCAUAAACACAUGCAUACAUUCAUGCCCAUAAUGUAUCCACACAUGUACACGUGCACACAUACACAAUGUCUGUCUUCAAAACUAUGAUAAGACUUUCUUUACUUUGAAAACUCUAAAAAAGCAAAGCUUAAUUCCAUUUUAGUCCAUGCAUUUAAUCACCAUCUAUUGACCUCUGUCAUUUGUAAGGGUACAUUAAACAGACAACAGAAUAAAAUAAAACACUAAGGUCUAAUAAGUAAGAAAAUGGGAUGGAAUUUUGGGAAUAAAUGGAUGAUUUAGUAGGCCAGAUAUUUAUCAUUUCCUCUUUUUUUCUAUUGUCCAUCAGUAAUUCUGUCAUUAGAAUAUUGGCCUUUCUCUCCAUGUAUUUUGAAUGACACUGUUUAGUAAAUAUACUGUGGGCCCAUAGUCACAUGUUAUUGCCUAAAUAACAACCUGUUAUUUAUUCAUUUGAAAACUUAAUGGAAUUUUGAAAUUUUCCUGGAAGAUGCAUUAUGUGGUUUCAUGAGAUGUGUGCUCUAAAUAACACCCUGUGUUGAGGUGAUUCCUGGCUUAGCAUGUGCUAUUCCAGCCCCUGAAAUGACGUUUCCCUGUCUCUCUGGUCCUUCUCCCUUUGGCGAACAGGACCCUUGAGGAAGCUUUGACACUGGGAUUGACACCAGAGAGACUGAAAUGGCUUAUUCUGGGUUCCUCUGCCAUUUUGUACCUCCAACAUUUACAUGUAACUCAUCUGAUCUUCAGGACCAAACACUAGGAUGUAAGAAUGGCCACAUUCCUUUAUUUCUUCCAGUCACUAUGUCUGUAACCUGCACUACCACAUCAGCUGGCGGGACUUUCAACCCUGCUCACCCACCCCCAACGCUCCUAGGACUUCACAGGGUCUCACAGCUGCAGGAACAACCCAUUUCUGUGUUCAUCUUGGUUGCUGAGCAACAGCCCUACUUUUGUGUUUUAAGAUUCAUUUAAAACAGAGAAAGCUGGCAUUCAAUUUUUCUUUUGAAUUUCACGUGGGAAGGCUGGAGUGUUUUAUUUCUAGACAUCGUGUGUAUUGUCUCUGAAUUAAGGCUGCACCAACUAGUAUUGCACAAAGGUUUCUUGUCCUGCUUAGUUUAUAUCUGGACUCAUUCCCUGAUGGAGGUGUCAUCACCGUGGGCACGUUCAGCACACUGGAGAUGGGUGUGGACAUCCUUCAAGUUCUGAAUGAAGAGUUUCUUUGUAUAGGCUCUUGGGAGUUUCCAGAGUCACCGUCCUGGAGUAUGAGUGGUUCUGAUUGGCAGAGCUGAUGGGGACCCGUGUCAAUCGCUUGUAGAACUGAGCUCCACAUCUGGCUCAUUGCCAACAUGUACCCACAAGUGAAAAAUGGUUCACAUUUUAGCUCGUCUUUCCCCAUUUGGUUUAUAUUCUAGUGAGAGGUUUUCCAGAUGUUAUUUGUGUCUGUAUGCCCCGCUGGGUGAAGAACCUCUCCCCUUCCAUCUUCAAUGUUAGGGAACAGAAAGUGACCUUGGUAGUCUUCAUCAGCAACCUGCUUUUCAGAAUAAGAAAACAAAGAUAGAGAGGCAAGGAAAUUUAACAGUCAGCCCUAGGUCUUCAGCUAGACAUAAAGACACCAACUCAGUGGGGAAUCAGAAGAAAGGGGUCUUAUUUCUGAUUCAGCCACAAAAUCACUUCCUUCAGUUUUCUAUAGUAUUGAGAGCAUUGGACUAGAAAGGUAUCCCCAAUGCCAGUCUGUGAUAAUGAAGUUGUGAUACUAAAAUUUUCCACUAACCUGUGAGAUUAUAAGAAUAAUGAGGUAAAAAUUUCAAUCCUUUUUAAAAUAUAUAAAACUAAAUACUUAUUUUUGUGCCUAGUUUUCUUUUGGUUCUUCUUUGAUGAAGUAAUGGCAAUAGUACAGGAUAUUUUUUUUGUCUAAAUAACCAGCUCCUGAUUAUAUCCAGCACUGAUUUUUUUUUUACAUUUUAGAAAAAAAAUGACAUUCUUUGAUAUUCAGCAUUUCUAGAAUCUCUAGUUCAAAUGAACUCUAAAACCCCUUCCAUCUUCCAGUUUGAAGGGAGAACAUAUACUAAGUAGAGUUAAAUCAUUUUUUAGAUUACCAGACAUGUAAAGUAAUAAACAUGAAAAGAAGUACAGCUUUACUCUCUUAGUGAGAUUGUCCAUGUUAAAGGCUUUUCAUCCACUAGGAUUUUCUAGAAGUUAUUUGUGGAUAUGUGUUUGGAUACAAAAUCUCUAGUUUUGACUAAGGUUCUAGAAUAGUCUUCAUUUAAAUAGGUUAGAGAGAAAUUAACCUAAAUAUAAAAAAAAAAAAGUCAAGGAAGAAAGAAAAAACAUACAUAGGGAGGUAUCUGAAAUCUUUUGAGUAUAAUAAAGGACAUACAUUCAUCUGUAUAUUCUUUGAAAGCCUGGUUUGUAUAUACAUUAGACAACACCCUUGCUUUCUUGUAAUUGAACAGAAAUUGAUCAGUCCAAUUAUUAUAUUACAAAAUGCAAAUUUCAACUGCAAUUUUAAAACAAACCACUAAAAAUCUAAAAAUAGGGAUACAGUUUAUUCUCCUUCAUACCUACAUAGAAUAUUGAUGAUGUUUAAAGAAUGUGUUCUAUAGAUAAGAUUUUUGAUUAUAAAAUGAAAUUAGAUUUGUUUCACCCUCAAAGAGUCCCACUGAAAAAUUAUCAUCUAAAAUCUGGAAAAACUUGGAAGAAAAUAGUUUGUAAAGGAGGUUUAAAUUCCUAAGGCUUUUUGUCAGUUCUCCACUUGAAAGGUCUUUUUGCAUAAUGUUUAAUAUGCCCAAAACUUUCCUUUCAUGUUAAGGAUACUUCCAUAUUUAGAGGAUUUGAUGUAAUAGGGGGCACUGCUUUUGUGAAGCAAUCGAUGCAUUAUGUUUUGCCAGUUUAGCAAAUCUUCUUUCUAACCAACCUGACUAAACAUUUCUUUGAAUGCUGAAAAAAUGUGCAAGAGAUAAAAUAUUAAAAAGAAAACCACAUUCAAACAUACAGUAAAAUUUUCAAAAGGGGAUGAAACCUUCUCAUGUGCAUAAAUUGUUUUUUGUUUGGUGAUUUGAUGAUAUAAUAAAUCAGUGACUUUGAUUUUGGUGAAAUGACUCUAGAUGAAGUAUAUUACUUCAAAGGAAAACAAGGAAUAAAGAAAAUUAAAUGAAUUAUGUAAUAAACAUGAAUAGUAGGUUAAAGACAAGGGCAAAGAAAAAGGUAUGAAUCUUUUAAAUUUUCUUUCACUUUAAAAAGUAUCUGGGGUUCUCAUUGUGGCUCAACGGUAAUGAACCCAACUAGUGUCUAUAAGGACGAGGGUUAGAAGCCUGGCCUCACUCAGUGGGUCCCAUGAGCUGUGGUGUAGGUCGCAGACGUGACCUGGAUCCUGUAUUGCUGUGGCUGUGGUGUACGUCAGAAGCUGCAUCUCCAAUUCGAUUCCUAGCCUGGGAACUUCCAUAUGC
rnacentral:lncRNA from 1 species